GUCCUUUUGUUUAUUUAUUUAAGGUCUGACCUGCCCAAUGAGGAAUUCAAUGGCCGCAGUAUUUUAACUGUGCUAAGGUAGCAUAAUCAUUUGUCUUUUAAUUGAGGGCUGGAAUGAAAGGUUGGACGAGAUAUUAACUUUCUUUGAUUUAAUUUUAAUAAUUUAAUUUUUGAGUUAAAAAGCUCAAAUUUAUUUGUUGGACGAGAAGACCCUAUAGAUCUUUAUAAUUUUAUACUUUAGUAAUUUAGUGAUUGUAUUUAUUGUAAGUAAAAGGAUUAUUUUGUUGGGGUGACUGUAGAAUUUUAUUAACUUCUAUUAUGUUAAUUUCAUUAAUUGGUGUUUUUUUGAUCCAUAUUUUAUGAUUAAAAGAUUAAGUUACCUUAGGGAUAACAGCGUAAUUUUUUCGGAGAGUUCAUAUUGAUGAAAGAGUUUGCGACCUCGAUGUUGGAUUAAAAUAAGUUAUGGAUGCAGAAGUCUAUAUACUAGGUCUGUUCGACCUUUAAAUUUUU
rnacentral:rRNA from 1 species